ensembl:lncRNA
GUCGAACAUCAGCUGAAAUUUUCCAUCCAAAUGCUUGCUCUGCGCUGGGUCCACACACCAGUUGUGGUUUUGUUUUGUUUUGUUUUGCCAGGACAGCUCUGUUGGCCAGAGAACUGGAAAAAUAAUAGUCAUAUAAACCUGAAUGUCAUUCUUGAGGUCAUGAGAACUCUAGUGCAGAAGUGCACCUGAGCUUACAAAAUGGGUGGCACAGCUCUCAAGAGUUCACUUUCGUGGAAAUGUUCUCCAGGUCUCUGCCAAGAAGUCUGCUUAUAAACUGCUCAGAGACUCCACUGAGUGUCCUGGCUCAAAAACAGUUGUUAGCCAGAUAACCAGAGGAAAGAAAUCAGUCCUACAGAAGCCCUGUGUAGCCUUACAGUUACUUCUGCUUCAGUGGACCUUGUGACUGUACGUGUCCCUUCUGCAAGACAACAGAAAAUGCUAAGGGAUCUGCUUCAAGGUAGAUUACAGAAGCCCAGCCAAGCUGUGAUUUGAUAUUAAUACACUAGAAAUGGUUAGGGACCUGAAGCCUUUUUUCCUGUUAAAGAAAAAUAUUCUUUGGUAUUGGCUUGCAGCAGAUGUGUACCAGCAUACCAGCAGCAAGUUCAGCUUCUUCAGUGGUGUUAUUAAUUAUAAUUCAGUGCUACUGUAAUACCUGAGUGUUAGAUAGAAAUGUACUUUAGAACAGUUCCAUGCAGUAAAUGUUUGGGAUGGAAAUGGAGAGACUCAAAACUAAUUAAGUUAUUCAUCACAGUGCCAUAUAUGACAGUGAAAAUUCUCAUCCUGGCCCUCAGCUGGAUGGAUUUUCCAGUUGCUGUUAAAGUGUACUCACCAUCUGCAGAAUGGUAUGCAGUUGCCUCAUUAGAUAAAAUUCUUUGUCUGAACUAUUAAAAAAAAAGGAACUUGCAGAAAAUUCACCACGAAAAGUCAGCCUAUCAAAAUCAAAACACUGAAAGAAAGCAGCUAAUUUCAAUUUAUGUAUUGCUUUUUAAAUAACAGCAAAUAAAAAAAUGUAAAGCACAGUGCCUCCAACAGAGGCAUUCCCUACCUGUGAGUACUUUGCUUUCCUUGGCUUGCAAUGACCUUGUUUCAAAACAUAAUUCAUGUAGAAGUUAAAAAAAAAUUAAAAGAUAAAAUAAAAAUGAAAGAUUUUUUAAAAAUUGCUUGACUUGAGCUGUCUUUUCCUUCACAAUGAAAGAUAAAAAUGAGUUCCCAAAUAAAAGAUUUUCCAUGUAAACAAUCCUGUAAGCCAUUUAGAAAAGGCAGAAAAUAUGUAUUCCUAUACAUGCAUAGGUAAAUAAGUUCCCUUGUAGCAGAACUUUAUUGAGAAACAGUAUUUACACAGCUUUCUUAGGUCAUUGCCUAUUAUGCACUCCUUGUACAUUUAAAAUAAAUAUUUCAAGCAGUUUAAGUCUUGGUCUGUAUGCUAUUUCAAGCUGUUUAUGUUUUGGUCUGUAUGCUAGACCAAAACGGCUUUUGCUGGAUAUCUGAAAUUGAGCGG